UUACGGCCAUAUCACGUCAAAACAUCGGUUCCUGUGUGAUCAUUGAAGUUAAGCAAUGUCGAGCCAGGUCACUACUUAGAUAUGUGACCGCCAGGGCAUACCAGGUGCUGUUA